GCAGGGCCCUCUCGUUGACCCGCCGCUCUGCCAUGCUCGGCGCGCCACUCCCCUGUCGCAAGGCCUGUCGCAAGGCCGCAGGCCGCGCUGACGGCUCCAACCCAAGGCGCCGCCCCCUCGUCGUCUCAUUCCGGCUCCUGCGCACCACUUCCUCACCACCCAACUCUGCUCCAGCCUGGCGCGCCGUCCCCCGCCGCGCCGCUCCGAUCCGGAUUUGGGGGGCUUCUCCUCCGGAGCCAUUUUUGCUGCUGCCGUUUGGCAGGGCUUGGGUGGAGCCGAUGGAGAAGCACCUCCCAAAGCCCUGCCAAAGAGGGUCUUCGUGUUAUUGGUCCUUGACGUUGCAUGUCCUGUCCCAUGGGCCAUAAAUCCGUAUAAUUCGCUAUCCCACUGGUUCACAUGCAUGUUCUUCGCAUGGAAGUGCUGACACGCCUAGGCGCCUAGCUGGCGACGAAUGUGCCAGUACUCACUACUCAGUACGAGGCAGUUGGACGAGCUUCUAUUCUUUGGGUUGUAAUUAAUUAGUGAAAGAGAAAAUGCUUGGCUAUACUAUCAUGCUCAGGUGAUAUUGCAAUAUUGUUCAAUAAAUCGAAACAAACUCUAGACUGACA